UAUGAACGCUCUUUUCUACUUUGCCUUCUUUUUGUAGCAGGUGACCGAGUUUGAAAGUACAUUUUGUACAUUAUUAUUAUUAUAAUAAAAUAUCUAGAAAGUUUACAGGACCACAUCCAUCCUUUUCUCAUCCGACCUUUUCCUCUUCAUUGCUGGUCACAGCUGCUGGUCGACGAACGUAAAGGCACACAAAAGUGGUUUGAAGGUGUAAAGUAGAUACAUUCAUGGAGUUAGCUAGAAAGGAAGUCAGUAACAUGGAUUGGUUUGGAGGUAAGAAUUGCUUUUAUUUCUAAUUUUACUUUAUAUCCCUUACAUUAUUUUUUGA